AUGUGUGUUCGAAAAGACCAAGGAGGAAUGGAUUUCUGAGAUAUACACUAUUUUAAUCUGACAUUGUUAGCUAAACAAGCUUGGUGUCUCCUGGAUAAUCCUUAAUCGUUAUGUGCCACAAUCUUAAGAGCCAAAUAUUUCCCGGUGGAUGAUUUGAUGAGCACACGUUUAAAAAAGGGUUCCUUCUUUACUUGGAAAAUCAUUAUGGCUGGAGUGGACUCUCUCGAGAAUGGUUAUAUAUGGAAGGUUGGUAAUGGAGGAAAUACUGAUAUAUGGAGAGAUGCAUGGAUCCUAAAUUGUGCGACUAGGAGAGUCACUGCACCUAGAAGAGGGGAUCUCCUGAUGAAAGUUUCUGCUCUUAUUGAUCCAGUUACAAAUUUUUGGAAUGAGGAUUUGGUGAGACAAACAUUGUGGCCACUUGAUGCUCAAAGAGUCCUGGCAAUUCCUCUCCCAAUGCACAAUAUACCGGAUUUCAUUGCUUGGGCUACACUAAAAACAGUUACAUUGUAUGAUCAACUUAUUUGGAAGAAUCGAGUAAACAACAUGGGAGGAAAUUGGAAUAUACAAAUGGCAUGGGUAGAAUCAAGGCUAACCCUAUUUGGGGCAAGAUAUGGAAAUUAUCUGGUCCGACAAAGGUUAAAAGAUUUAUCUGGCGUACGCUUCAUGGGACUAUAUUGUGUCGUGUGA
rnacentral:rRNA from 1 species